rnacentral:misc_RNA from 1 species
AACGCACAUUGCGCCCGCCAGCAUUCUGGCGGGCAUGCCUGUUCGAGCGUCAUUUCAACCCUCAAGCCCAGCUUGGUGUUGGGGCCCUACGCCUGGCGUAGUCCCCUAAAGGUAGUGGCGGACCCUCCCGGAGCCUCCUUUGCGUAGUAACUAACGUCUCGCACUGGGAUCCGGAGGGACCUCUCGCCGUAAAACCCCCAAUUUUUCUAAGGUUGACCUCGGAUCAGGUAGGAAUACCCGCUGAACUUAA